GUUUAGUGAUGAUCACCCAUGCGUGUCAACUGAUCCCAGAGUCCCCUGCGGUUGCCGGGCGCCGGCCGGCGUUCUGCAGGUCGGCGUUCCGAAGCUGCAGGCCUCUGGAAUGUGAUCUGACCUCAUGAGACUGAAAAC